rnacentral:lncRNA from 1 species
GAACACAAAUUCAUGGGCAAUUCUCGACCGAUUGCAAUUGUGCAUAAAGGUACUGAAAAUAACAUUUCACCACGGUACAGGUAAAACCCAAUUGCUAUUGUUGGUUUUCUUUAGUUGUCAAUCUAAGGAAUGUGUAUUAGGGUUUUGAGUUCGUUUUAGAUUUAAACAAAUGAAACUUUAUUAAUUUUUGUUUUAUUUGUUAUUGAACGCAUCAGCAUGUUCAAAUUAAUGUUUCGAUUAAUUUGUGCAACUCAUGAAUUCUAUUUAUUUUCUGGUAAUUGGGUGGGUACUUUACGCUUUUCUGAAAGUAGAAAAAUAGAAAUAAAUAUUGUGUACAUAUUCGUAUAGCUAUGGAUAGUCUGCUAAGUGGUACCUUAUCUUUUUCUAAAAGUAAAUUAGUGUUUUUCAUGUAUAUUUUGGAUUUAUAUCAAAAUGUUGUACUUAGAUUUUAAAUGUUGCACAGUUUAAUACUCACUAAAAAAAUUCAACAUUCAUAGGUGAGAUAUGUGUUAACAAAUUAUAACCAUAACCUCUGAUAAUCAGAUUCUAUGUGUUAGUAAACAUUCACUAUGUGCUUAUUUACGAUUAGUUUCGAGGAGAUUGUAAACUAAAUCAUCACCUCGUUUCUGUUUUAAUCAUGAGCCAGGUAGGUAUUCAGAGUAACUUUAGAGAGGCGAAAUUGGUUUGGAUAAAUUGUUAAAGGUUUGUUAUGUAUUUUGAGGGUAAGUUUUAUUAGCCAGGUGUUAUACAAAUUUCUUCUAUAGUUUUCUUUCAAUAUUUUAAGCAUUUAAACAUAUCUACUACUUUCAAUUGCAAUUAACACUUUUUUCAGGUAGAAACAGGUUUUGGUUCCUUCAUACAAACUAGUAGUGAAUGAAUUCGUUAAAGGAAGUGUAUUAUUGUCUGCUCCAGAUUCUGUAAAGCCAAUCAAUACUGGUAACCUUCUAUUAGAUCUCAUCCGUGUAUGAUGACUUUAUAUCGUUUUAUAUAAUAUGUUAUUUUUGUUUUAUGAAUUUGUCUAUGUUAACAGUACAAGCUAUGUGAAUGUCCAUGGGACAGAGCACAUAUGAAAUAUUCAGCAUAGUGUACAAUCUUUCCUUUGUUGCUAUUCUCUUGACCACAAAGGAUUAG